AGAUGCCAGGCCACUUGCUUUUCUGCGCCAGGUGGAGUAGUUUGACAAAUUGCUCCUCUUUUAACUUAAUUUGCAAAUACUCCUGGAAUGCACAUGAAGGAAAUCUGGAUCCGGUCUUGCAGCAGAGGGCAAAGAAAGUAAAGUCUGUGCUACAGCCAGCUUUGUUAUCUUGGUGGUCUCAUUUAGUCUUUUCUGCAUCUCAACAGCCAAAGAGCCCACUAAGGAUAUGGGGAGACUUCCCAUAAGACUAAUGCAGAGAAAUUAAUGAUUGGUCCAGACAAAUACGGGGAACAGACAGGACAGACUACAUGAGCCUCUUCCUCCCUUGAGCGAUGUUGUUUCCCACAACCUGCAUCUGACUGGAAAGCUUACCCUGCCCUGUCCUUUUUAGCUGUGUCCUGCUCCAGCCCAUGCCAUGGGAUGAGUGUACAUGUAGUGAUUGCCAAGGGAAAGUAACAGCUCAGAGGGUUUCAGGAAAAGCUGUCCUGUCUCAGCCUGUGAGCAGCAGUGGGCACUGUCUGGAAGUAGUCAACAAGAUAUGCAGAUGGCACGAUCUAACACAAGUUUCUGAGUAGAUGAUCUGACAGCGUUUCCACACCAGUUCAUGUCAGCUGUGUGAUAUCCAGUUAUGCUUUCUGCAGGUCUGCUGGACCUUUUUCCCAGAACAGGCUCCCUCCCCCUCUGGCAUCUAGGAAGCUGCAAUCCAUAACGCUACAUUUUGAAGACAAAGAGGGAAGUGCAUUGGAUUUAUACCUAACCGGCAAGGGAAGACUGCAGGAUGCACUUUGCAAAGUGUCGCUUAGCAACAUGGCACGCUAAACAACUCCAGCUCUCUCAGCCUCUCCUCACAAGACUUGUUCUCCAGCCCCCUCACCAGCUUCGUUGCUCUUCUCUGGACACUCUCCAGACCCUCAACAUCCUUCUUGUGGUGAGGGGCCCAGCACUGAACACAGUACUCAAGGCUUCAAAGAGCUUUCCUGGAGUUUGGUCCUCACCUCACCCAAACACAAAGAUGAAGAAUGGUAUUAAACAUACAGACUUGUGGUGUUAACACAGCUUGUGAUUUCAUCAGGCAUGGUUAUUUCUUCUUAAAGCUUGGACUCUUGGAUUCAGAUGACUCAGAGGAACUCUCAGCACUAAGGAAACAAGAAAUGAAGUGUCUUCAGGAUCUGCAGAACAGCUUGGAGACAACCAUUUUCCUAACAUAAAUAUCAGAUGUCAAACAAACAGUUAAUAAGUACAAAUCUACUUGAAAGUACUGUUGAUUAAAAAACAUUAUCAAGAACUAUUUGUUUUGGUUUUAGAUUCCGUUUCAGGUUUUGUGGCCAUUGACUCACAUCUGCUGGAUGUCAGAGCUUGAGAAGCCUUUCACUUCACCAACUCCAUUUCUACAUGAAACUCCUGGAGGGCUGCAGACUCCCUUUUUAUUAGUGUUAAAACUAUAAGAGAGCAUGGGCUGGGCACAGCAGGCAAGGCACAGCUCCUCUUCCCCAUCCCUGCUCUGCUGUACCUGGAGACCAUGGCUAUGAGCGUGCCAAGGAUACCAUUUUACGUCUUUGCUUGGAUCUGAGUAAUUUA